rnacentral:sRNA from 1 species
ACUGUGACCUGUUGCUGAGGUGAUCUGAUGAUAUAGGUCUUGCCUUUCAUUUUAACUGCCAUUCUGGCAACUGAACGUUGGCAGUAAACGCAGCUUAGUUGUCUCAGAGGACUCACAAUGGGAUGUGUUUAUAGUUGUUUCCUCGAAGUGUGUUGUGACGAGGAUCAAAUAGUGUAUCCUAAGAUGCCAGGGGAAUCCACCGUCUGCCACCGCGAGCGUGAGAAGCCAAUCACCUAUCACUGGCAUCACUGGCAUCCCGGCCAUAUAUACCCUAGAAUUGCAUCAAUGGAAGAUUACGAUGAGGACCUGGUGCAGGAAGCUUCAUCUGAAGAUGUCCUGGGCGUUCAUAUGGUGGACAAAGACACAGAGAGAGACA